rnacentral:rRNA from 1 species
UACAGGAGGGUGCGAGCGUUAAUCGGAGUUACUGGGCGUAAAGGGCGCGUAGGCGGUUAUAUAAGUGAGAUGUGAAAUCCCUGGGCUUAACCUAGGAACUGCAUCUCAUACUGUAUGACUGGAGUAUUGUAGAGGGUAGUGGAAUUUCCGGUGUAGCGGUGAAAUGCGUAGAGAUCGGAAGGAACACCAGUGGCGAAGGCGGCUACCUGGACAAAUACUGACGCUGAGGCGGCGAGAGCGU